GUGUUAUGCUCUACGCACAUCACAAACCUAAAAUGUGUAUAUAUAUGGGAUACCACCUAGUAUUUAUAGUGCAAGAUUAAUUAUCUAGUCACUAUGUGGUAUGUCAAGUUCAUUCAAAACUCAAAUUCUCAUCCAUUGAUUAUCUUUAGCUGGAUUUCAUAUGCCUCUUUUGAGAUAUUCAUGGAUAACCAUAUUAUGGGGGAGUGAUAUGCCUUGUGCAUAUCACAAUCCUUGUUAAAUGUGAACAAUUAUGGGAUGCCGCUUAAAAUAUAUUUCAGAUUAUCUUAUAUCUCUGUGGCAUGUAAUGCCUUGUUUACAUAUGGCAUUCUUGUGCGGUUUUGCCCAUGGCUAUCUUCAAAAUCAUAUUCGGAAAGUCGUUUGAUUAAAGCUAUUUCAAUUGUUGCUUUGCAUGAUGAUCUAUCUAAUUGGAAUGUUAAUAAUAUACUAUCCAAGCAUUGUGUUUAUUUCUAAACUCUCAUGUUAUGCUUGUGUUAGUAUAGAUGAUCAUGUACUUAUGUGGUUUCCACGCAGAAUGAUAACUCGAAAUACCAUUUUGUUUGAGUUCAUCUUAUUGGUUUGUAUGGAUUUAUGGGACUUUGUCAUCUCAUUGUUUAUAGUAUCAUAUAUCUACUUGAGUGAGAUAUUCCUAUGAGUAUGUGUGCAAUGCAUAUCAUAUAUGCUCAUUGUUUUUUCCUUGGUUCAUAUGUUGAACUUUGUGUGCUAUCAUAUGUUGAUUUGUCACUUUGAUUUAUUUUGGACAUCAUGAAUGACUAGUGAUGUUAUUGGAAGUAUUAGUGGUUAUGUGUUCUUUUGUCCAUUUUGUAUCUCCUUGGAUUUUGGUAGGCAUGUGCAUGCAUAUUUACUAUGUGUAAAUUCGCAUGCCUUGUUUGCUUUAUUUGAUCCCAUAUAUAUGGUAAAUCCAUAAAAUUCUUAAUAGCUAAGAUGUGCAUGAAAUUCAAAUUUAUAUCGAUAUGCACAUGCUCAAGUGGCUUUACCAUAUGUGUUGUAGUUAUGCUAACUACUUCGGACCCAAUAAGUUUGGGGACCAUAUAUUGUACUUAAAAUGUUUUAGGUACAUUUGAGAAGCAUUGGGUGCUUGGCUUAUUCAUGAAGGUGGUGGCACUAUGAGGAAAUUAGAGCCAAGCUUGGACAUUUUAUUAAUCUAUGACUUCAUACCAAUGCUAUCUCGGUAACAAGUAUUUACUUCAUGCAUAUAUAUAGAAAUGGGGUAAACCUUGUGUAGGUUGCAUCAUGGCAUGAAUUUCUUGACUCGUUCCUGUGAUACUUGUUUCCUUUCUCAAAGCAUCCCAAUAAUGAUCUCUUGUUGUUAGUUGUGAUGUCUUUGAUGGUUGUGUGUUUGGAGUUUAUUAAUAUACAAUAAGAUAAUAUCAAGCCAUGUGCUAUGCUUUCAAGCAAAGAUCUCAUUGGUAUAUUUUAUGACUCCUGUUUGGAUAUCUUAUUCUUUCCUUUUGUAACUAUUUCAUGUGUACAUGCUUCUUUGUGGAUAUAUAUCACCAUGAUUGUCAUCUACCUAGAAUCUUAUACACGUGAGAGAAGUUACAUCUCUAGUUGGUAUCCCUAUUCCUUCAUGUCCACCGUUUCAUUCUCUUUUUAUAUCUUUGGUGGCUCCAUGGAAGCAUUCAUUGUAUGAGUGCGUGUCUUACCUCUUUCAAUCUUAGUGCACUCAUGUUUGGUGAAGUUUGUUGUCCUCGUGCUUGUCUUGACAAGCCUAUUAUUUCCUAUCUUCACCAUGGGUUGUCACAAGCUUUGAUUUUUAAUUUGCUAUUAGUGAGGUUGUGAACCCAUUUGCUUGAUGUGUGUGUGACCUGCUUAACUUCGUGUGUGUGGGAAGGACAUGUCUAGCACCUUGUAUCUCAUUUACUCAAGACUAUGUUGAUGCCUAAUUCUCAUCCUUAUAUUAGUCUUCUCAAGUGCUUUGACGUGACUCACACACAUCGUUUUGGUUGUGCCGAUUAUUAGGUUGCCUCAUUUACAUGUUGCUCGACCAUAUGUUUGCUUUCAAUUGUUUUGUGUUCCUAUUGAUUUUGGCGGAGUGAUGAUCCUAUUUUGUGCACUUGUAUCCACAUAAAAAAAUCUAAAUAGUGCACAAAUCAUGGGGAGCUUCUCUAUUUUCCUUAGAACACUCCUUUGCUCAAAUCAUAAUAUUCUUUUAUCCUUCUAGCUCGUCGGAUCUUUUGAUUGCUUGCGUCACUUUGUGUUAUGCAAGUGAGAUCAAUUUGUUCCAUGUACUUUGUGCCAUGUGCCUUACUCCUAUGCUAGGUUCAAAGUUGUAUAAUAGUGGAUUCACCUGUGGAUAUCAUAUUCUUAUCAAUUACAACCUCUUUUGUGUAUACAACUUUCUUUGUGGAUACAUAUCAUGAUUAUUAUUGGCCACUUAGAAAUUUUUAUACAUAAGAGAGUUCAUAUAUUUCCUUGAUACCAUUUAUUCCUUGCCGUCCACUUUGUGUGGUGUGGCUUCGGUAAGAGGUUAUGUCGUAAGUGCUUGUAUGCAUUGCAUAUAUCCUUGCGCACUCAUGUGUUUUGGAUGUAUUUUGGACCCAUACUUGACAUGAUGAUCACAUUGGAUAUUCCUAUUUUAUCUUGUCCAAAAUAUGUUCUUUGGAUCUUUUGAAUGUUUUCCUCCCAUGUUUAAUCUUAUUUUCAUAUCAUACUAUCUUGUUGCAUUCUAGAUCCUAAAUAUGGGUUGAGAUCCUCAAAUUUUUCAUCAUUGAAUAUGUGCAUUUGAUUUCACUCACAUUUUCGCGAUAUGCACACAUUAAGGAGGAACUCAUACUACGUUAGCCCCCUAGAUUUUUUCAUCCAUUUUGGCAUUUGUUUCCAAUGGGGGAGAAGGUUAGAGGGUUUAAGAUUAGUAUUUUUGUAAGUGCUUGUUGUCACUCAUGCUUAUCUACCCUGGUUACAUAUUUAUUGCAUGAAUGAAUAUAUAGAUAAAACUCCACCUAGUGUAUGCCAACCAAUAUAUGCAACAAAAUUCAAAGUUCAUUCACACAUGCAUAUAUUGUGGGGGAGCUUGCUCUAUAUAUUGUGGUUCCACUAACAUCAAAUACUUGUGUAGUGUUUUGAUGUUAGUACACUGAGUGUGAUAAACUCAAGUAUCUUUGUGACACUUGAUGCUAUCAAUACUAUCCCAAGUAUACAAUUUAUCCUCGGGUAAAUUGCAUACUUGUGUUAAAAUUCAUUAUAUAAACCCUCUUGUUGAGAUUGUCAUCAAUUACCAAAAUGGGGGAGAUUGAAAGUACAUGUAGUCCCCAUGUGUGGUUUUGGUAAUUGAUGACAAUCCUAAUGGACUAAUGUUUGCAUUGACUUAUACAUUUGAAGGAAAGUUCCAUUUCCAAUGCAUGAAGAAUAUUGGAUCAACUAAAGGAUGUUUGUUCCAUGGUGAUGCAAGAAGGAGAUAGAAUGGAUUCGAAAUGAAUGCCAUAUACAUAUUGUUGUGCAUGCAUCAAGGCUUAUGGGUUGAACCAUGAUGGAUCAAGAUAUUGGGAGAAUGAUUAAAGAGAAGAAUUCUACAUAUGCUUGAAGAUAGGAUCAAUAUGAGCUCAUAUGUUGAGUCAUGGAUUAUUAUGUCUUGAAGCAAGUAAUUCAAGUGAAGAAUUCAUUGUGCCUCUCAAGAUACUAUGUUGGAGCAUGAGAACGAGAAAAUGAUGUCCAAUAUGAUAUUCAAGGAGAAACUUGAUAUGGUCAUGGUGAAUUGAGAUAUUGGUUAUUAUGUCUUGAAGAAAUGAAGCAUAGUGAAGAUAUCAAUAGGGCCUUCAAGACAUCAAUAUUAAUCAUGGAGCAAAGAUAAAUGUUGACCAAGAUAAAGAUCAAAGAUUGACCUCUAAGAUGGUCAACACACAAGCGCAUAUCAUGUGCCACAUGAGAUCUUGUGGUAUGGUAAGAAUUUAUCGAUUGCGCUUUGUGUACUAACCCAUACUAUGUGUUGUUUAUGUUAUGUGGGUUAGGUAAUUCUCAUGAGCUUGGUGCUUAUAAGAAAGCUUGGUGCUCAUCAAAGUAUGUCAUCAAGUAAUUAAUGCUGAUGGACAAGUAAAGAUGAAUGCAAAGCAAAGCUUUCCACAUUGUGUAUGGGGGAGCUACUUGAAGACUUCUCCAUUGUCUUGCCUUCAACUUGAGCCAUGAAGAAACAUCAAUAUAAAGCUGUGACGCCCGGGUAAUCAAGCUACAGUAACCCUGCGCUAAUGAUGCCACGUCACCUCGGUUACUGUUGGUAAACUCGUGUUAGUUCAAACGAUUCAAAUUCAAAUUUAAAAUAUAGGCAAACGACAAAAGUUUUCAAAUAAUAAAACUAAAUACUUCUGGUUGUGCCAAAUAAUGCGUAGGUAAUUAUGGUGGAGAAACCACACUUGUAUAAAAUAUGUAAAUACUCAAAAUGGAUAAAAUAGUAGCAAAAACAAUUAGUUAUACUCCUAAUAUAUUUUACCAAAUACUAAAGUAUUUUUAUUCUGAGGUAAAACUUCUUAGAACAGUGGUUUAUUUUAACACACUAUUUUGGAGCUAUUGUCAUGUUUUACUAAACCAAAAAUAAAGUGUAACUAAAAUAAAACUGNNNNNNNNNNNNNNNNNNNNNNNNNNNNNNNNNNNNNNNNNNNNNNNNNNNNNNNNNNNNNNNNNNNNNNNNNNNNNNNNNNNNNNNNNNNNNNNNNNNNNNNNNNNNNNNNNNNNNNNNNNNNNNNNNNNNNNNNNNNNNNNNNNNNNNNNNNNNNNNNNNNNNNNNNNNNNNNNNNNNNNNNNNNNNNNNNNNNNNNNNNNNNNNNNNNNNNNNNNNNNNNNNNNNNNNNNNNNNNNNNNNNNNNNNNNNNNNNNNNNNNNNNNNNNNNNNNNNNNNNNNNNNNNNNNNNNNNNNNNNNNNNNNNNNNNNNNNNNNNNNNNNNNNNNNNNNNNNNNNNNNNNNNNNNNNNNNNNNNNNNNNNNNNNNNNNNNNNNNNNNNNNNNNNNNNNNNNNNNNNNNNNNNNNNNNNNNNNNNNNGAUCCAGAUCGGAUCGGGCGUCGACGCCCCUUGCUGCUCGCCCGACGCCACGCCUCGGCGGACCGCCUUCGCCGGAGCCGCCCACCGGGCCGCCCCGUCCUCAUCCCCCUCCCCGAUCCAGAACUGGUUCGGGGCACGACCUCGACGCCGCACCGAACCGCGAUGCCCGCCGCUCGACCCCUGACCGCUCCCUCGCCGGACCUCCUCCUCUACGUCGCCGUCGUCCCCAUCCUCCUCCCCAAAGGCUCCACCGAGCCUCGCCGACCCUCUUCUCUUCAACGCCGGUGAGGGCCUUGCCCUCCCCUUCCCUUCCUUUGCUCUGUGCCGGCUGCUGUCGCCUCCCCCUCUCCCCUCCUCUGCGCCCCCCCCGAUUGGAUCGGGGGAUCGAACCGCCGCCACCGCCGCCCGGAACACCACCGCCUUGGCGCUGCCGCGGCGCCCGAGCCGCUCAUCCCCCGCUCGAUCUGGGCGCCUGCCUGCGCCCAGGGGCCCGAUCCCGCCCCCACCUCCGUUCCCGCGCUCUCCAUCGUCCCCGGCCUCAUCGAGCCUCCCCUGCAACGCUGUGAGCAGCACCACGACCCCCCUUCGUCCUCCCCUUCAAUUUGUUGUUGCUGCUGCUAGCUCCGCUGUUACCGAGCCCGCCGCCAAGCGCCACUCCCCGCCGGCCGGCGCGCUCGUCGUGGGCCGCUCGCGCCCUGGUUUCGCAUGCCCGCUGUCGAGGCCUUCGCCCCGGGCCUUGCCCGCCACCGCAGUCGUUCCUCCGCCGCCUUCCUUGGCCUGGCCGCCGGCACCGGCGUGCGCCGCGCGCGCCCAGCGCCCUCGGGUUGCGCCCGCACCCCCUGCACGCGGCGCCCGUCGCCCGCUGCAACCGCUCGGGCGCACGCCCGCACCCGCACGCCCAUGCCCGCUAAGGCCAUUGGCCCUAUGACAAGCAGGCCCCACCCCAGAACGAAAAUAAAAAAAAGGUUUAAAAAAAUAAAUAAAUAAAUAACUAAAAUAAUUAAAAUAUUAAUUAAUUAAUUAAAGAAUUAAUUAACUUAAUUAAUCCUGAUUAGUUAACCUAAUUAAUUGUAGUUAUUAAACCUAAUCAUUUUAGUUAGACUAACUAAACUUGAUUAGUUAGUCUUAGACAAUGACAACCGGGUCCCACCAUCAGAUUGACCCAGUCAACCCCUGUUGACUGCUGACAUCAGCAUGACAUCAUGCUGAUGUCAUAAAUCCCUUUUUGAAUUAAAUUGAAUAGUUAAUUAAAUUCUAGAAAUUAAUAAAAUCUUUAGAAAAUCAUAUCUUUUAAUCUGUAACUCGGAUUAAAAUAUUUUCAACAUAAAAGUUGCUCAGAACGACGAGACGAAUCCGGAUACGCAGCCCGUUCGUCCGCCACACACCCUUAACAUAUCAAACUCGCAACUUUCCCCCUCCGGCUCCUCUGCCCGAAAACACGAAACACCGAGGAUAUUUUCCCGGAUGCUUCCCCCUUCACCGGUAUCGCCUAUCCCUACGUUAGGUCACCCCUAGCAUAACGUAUUGCCGCGUCUUGCUUUGUGUUACAUUUGAUUGCUCCGUUAUUUAUUGUGUUCCCCCUCCGUUACUCCUUUCCGGUAGGCUCCGAGACCGAUGCUGAUGCCCCUGUGGUCGACUACGUCACCGACGACCCCUCCUUGUCUGAGCAACCAGGCAAGCCCCCCCUUGAUCACCAGAUAUCGUCUAUUCUUCUCUAUACUGCUUGCAUUAGAGUAGUGUAGCAUGUUACUGCUUUCCAUUAUUCCUAUCCUGAUGCAUAGCCUGUCCUUGCUACUACUGUUAUUACCAUUACCUGCUAUCCUACUGCUUAGUAUAGGAUGCUAGUGUUCCAUCAGUGGCCCUACACUCUUGUCCGUCUGCCAUGCUAUACUACUGGGCCGUGAUCACUUCGGGAGGUGAUCACGGGCAUAUAUGAUAUACUUUACACAGUUACAUUACCUGUGAUACUGUUCGGAGAUGGGGGCUGAAGGGGCAGGUGGCUCCAUCCCGGUAGAGGUGGGCCUGGGUUCCCGACGGCCCCCGACUGUUACUUUGUGGUGGAGCGGCAGGGCAGGUUGAGACCACCUAGGAGACAGGUGGGCCUGGCCCUGGUCGGCGUUCGCAGAUAUUUAACACGCUUAACGAGAUCUUGGUAUUUGAUCUGAGUCUGGCUACGAGCCUAUACGCACUAACCAUCUACGUGGGAGUAGUUAUGGGUAUCCCGGCGUCGUGGUAUCAGCCGAAGCACUUCAGACGUCAGCGACGGAGCGGCGCGCGCCGGAUUGGAACGUAAGCCUGCUCUUGUAUUAAGGGGGCUAGUUCUGCUUCCGGCCGCCCACGCAACGUGCAGGUGUGCUAUGGGCGAUGGGCCCAGACCCCUGUGCGCUUAGGUUUAGACCGGCGUGCUGGCCUCUCUGUUUUUCCUAGGUGGGGCUGCGACGUGUUGAUCUUCUGCGGCCGGGCAUGACCCAGGAAAGUGUGUCCGGCCAAAUGGGAUCAAGCGUGUUGGGUUAUGUGGUGCACCCCUGCAGGGAAGUUAAUCUAUUCGAAUAGCCGUGAUCUUCGGUAACAGGACGACUUGGAGUUGUACCUUGACCUUAUGACAACUAGAACCGGAUACUUAAUAAAACACACCCUUCCAAGUGCCAGAUACAACCGGUGGUCGCUCUACCUCAGGGAUAUGAGGAGGGGAUCGCCGGGUAGGAUUAUGCUAUGCGAUGCUACUGGAGAUGCUACUUGGAGAUGCUACUUGGAGAAGCUACUUGGAGGACUUCAAUCUACUCUCUUCUACGUGCUGCGAGAUGGAGGCUGCCAGCAGCGUAGUCUUCGAUAGGACUAGCUAUCCCCCUUUUAUUCUGGCAUUCUGCAGUUCAGUCCAUCGAUAUGGCCUCCUUACACAUAUACCCAUGCAUAUGUAGUGUAGUUCCUUGCUUGCGAGUACUUUGGAUGAGUACUCACGGUUGCUUUCUCCCCCCCUUUCCCCCUUUCCUUUCUUUCUGGUUGUCGCAACCAGAUGCUGGAGUCCAGGAGCCAGACGCCACCGUUGACGACGACCCCUACUACACCGGAGGUGCCUACUACUACGUGCAGCCCGCUGACGAUGACCAGGAGUAGUUAGGAGGAUCCCAGGCAGGAGGCCUGCGCCUCUUUCGAUCUGUAUCCCAGUUUGUGCUAGCCUUCUUAAGGCAAACUUGUUUAACUUAUGUCUGUACUCAGAUAUUGUUGCUUCCGCUGACUCGUCUAUGAUCGAGCACUUGUAUUCGAGCCCUCGAGGCCCCUGGCUUGUAUUAUGAUGCUUGUAUGACUUAUUUAUGUUUUUAGAGUUGUGUUGUGAUAUCUUCCCGUGAGUCCCUGGUCUUGAUCGUACACGUUUGCGUGCAUGAUUAGUGUACGAUUGAAUCGGGGGCGUCACAAGUUGGUAUCAGAGCCGACUGCCUGUAGGAAUCCCCUUUCCAACUCCUUGGCCGAAGUCGAGUCUAGACAUCGAAAACUGUUUUACUAACAUGGCUGUGCGGCCCAUGGGCCCACGUCGCCAUUUGGGUGGUAUUAGGAUCUUUUACUCCUCGUCUUUACUCUGGGAUUCUGAUAUCUCUUCUAUUCGGCUUAAAUGAAUUUUGCUAAAUCUAACAUUAGGAUCUCGUUAUCACUUUCACCCGGAGAGCCCCUUAUUAUUGAUGAUCGCCUGCUGCACGUGAAGACCCUGAAGAUACUCUCCGCUGUAACCCGAGAAUUUGUGUCCGUUGCUUUUGCAAUUCCCUACCACCAAAAUAUCCCUAUGGGUAAAUACAUACAUCUGUCGUUCUUACUUUUGUUCCCAGUUGAUCUUGUCAUUGGAAGAUACCCUGAAAUUCUCUCUAUUGACCCGAGAAUACUUUGUGCCUACUGCCUUGCAGUUCCUUUCCACCUGAAUACCCCUACGGAUAAUUUCUCGCCCUUAUCGAGUAUCCACUCAUCCCCAGUUGUUCAUGUGUUUCACAAUGGUCUUUGAAAUACUAUUCGAUCGUCCAAAAAUUCCUCAGUAGCUUAUUGCUCUGCAAUACUUGUCUGCCUGCAUUAUGGAUGCUUUCCAUAUGUCUGGCAAUAUUCAUUGGUAUCCUUAGACACCGUCAUUUUUAAUCCUAUUGAUUCAACAUGUGUGCGAAUGCACACAAUCAUCAAUCGACCCUUCUAAAUUAUCUUUCCGGCUCAGACGUCAUUCUGAACAUGAGCUGGUUCUGGACCAAACUAUUUGUCGUCAAUUGUGCCUCUGGUCUAUCCAACUUAUCCAUCCUUGAUCAGAGUGUCUGCUUCUGAUCCUUUGUUUUGGAAAUCAUAAUUCCUUUGUUAUCUAAGCAUCGAAUUAUUCAGAUGUUCUAUAAUCUGAUGCCCGUGCAAUCUUUCUUCCUCUGAUUGAGUACAGAUACUCACAUCAGCUCCGUUGUGAAUCGCCCGAUCCAUUGUUGGAUUUCAUCCGACAUCGUCCUUCAUAUUCAAUAACCUUGUGAGCCUUUCCACGGGUGUAUAUUGCCUUUGGUAAAUUGUAUCCUCUGCUUGGCCAACCAUGCUCUGCUUUCGAGCUUGUGUAAUUACUUUUGAAACUUGUGGUAUAUGUUCUAAGAUGCCUCGAUGGGUUGAACCUAUACCUUCCUUAAUAUGUGUGAACUCGAAAGUUUUUCACGAGUCAUACUCUUCUGGUAUUUUGCCAGAUAAAAUUUCAACACUACAUCUUCAUCGAACGUGAGAAGUGAAUGAAAGAUUAUACAUUGAAGAAGUGGGAGUCGACCUUGAACCUUGUGUUCAUGCCCAUGGACACGAUGUAGAUCUUAUCAUUAAAAGCUUCUCUUAAAUUAAUUAUUCCCUUGGUAUAAGUUCAACUUAUAUCUGGGAUCUGGCCUUUUGCAAUCGUGGUUCCGGCCAUGUUCUCCUUUUAAAUACCAUUUCUCGGACAAGUUAAAACAAUUGUCUUCUAUGGAUCAAUACACCAGUCCAACCUUUACUUUGAUCUUGUGUCGAGUAUUACCCCCUGGUAUCUCGAUAUUAUCAUGGAACUGCAUAACUUUUUAUGAGUUCUUCAUCAAGUGCUACCUUCCCACUGAUUCCAAUUUUUCGCGGGCUCUGAGUUAUUAAACACUCAAAGACACCGAUAACUGAGCCGAGUCCGCACUACGGUUCAACAACUCUUAGUAAUCUUCUUUAAGUACGAGUUUGUACCCGAUCACGCCAUUCCUAGCCUGUUUGGCUAUAUCAUUGUCUUGAUGAUUUUAACUGUGCUACCCGGUCCUUCUUCUCGGAGCACAAUUUUCGACGAUGAACUAACCUUACGUCGAUCCUCAUCGUCAUACCAUUUCGCCUUGAACAACAAGCUUGGUUUCGAGUUGUGUCGUACCCUUGGUUCCAAUAAUCUUUCACUUCAUCAUUACUUUGACUUGAUGUCGUCGCCGAUCGAUUACAUCUUCAUGAACUCUCGCGACAAAGGUGUCGUGAUCAUCAACAUUCUGAGCUCAUCCAGGAUAUCAAUUGAAUUCAUGAUGAGAAAUACCAUCCUUGCCCUUGAUGAAUUGUAUUAUCAUCGACCACUUUAUUGCCUUCCCACCAACACAAGCUUGUUCUUGUUUGGUGUUAUACCUUGAGUUCCUUGCUAUCCUGCAAUUGUUCUUCUUUACCUUGGAGUAUUACCAUCCUUUAUGUCAAGAAUGUUCUGAGAUUUGUUCCACCUCUUGAGAAUUCUUGACAUAGAAAUACUUCUCACCAUCACCAUUCUUUCUUGGUCCCCGUGUUAAUUCCAACAAGUGAACGGUGUUGUUUGGAUUCUUUCCUUCUAGCAACCCUAUUGCUUUGAAGUUAAUGGUCGGCCGCUCAUUCUUAGUCUUGAUUAUUGAAUCACCAUUCCGACGUUGGUUGUGCAACCCAACCCAUAUUUCGGGUGCACCUUUCAACCAAUGUUUAAUUGUGUAUGUUUUCCUCAAGCAUACAUCAUUAUACCAUUUGAUCUGACAAAUGUUAUCUCUUUGUUCACAUAAUUGUGGAAAUCCAUCUUUUGGUAAUCUCGAUGAAUUGUCGCUGAUUCCACCAGCCACCUCCUCAUCCUCUCAUUGGUUUACCGAUGAACUCUUGUUUCAGAACUGGCUUCCAUGGUUCAUCUCCCGAGAAUCUUCGAUGUCAUCUCGUCAAUUUGUAUCGCACCUUUUCUCCUCAAGCAUCGUGAGCUUGAGGUAUCAUGACACCAAUCGGAUCUGGAUCUCGGUCAGAUAUGAUGGUAGGGACAACUUUCCAAGAGUUAUGAUGUUGGUCCUUUGAUGACCUGGUAACAUGAUGUCAUGCCUAGCACCCCGCCCUGGGUGGAGGACCUAUUGUUGUAGUAUCCUUUUUAGCAAGUUUAGCCAUUCUUCCAUGAGGAAAUUGUAAGACUUAUUCUACAAGUUAUUCCUGAUGGAUCCUUCGUGUUUCCAAAGUCUGAUCUUCACCUGAAGACCAUGUCAAUGCUAUCUCGAAGCAUGUCAAUGGUACUUCGAUUUUCAACAGGAACAUUUGAAGCACGAUGCUAAAUUUUAUUUAUCACUUAUCCUAACACCGUUGUAUGGGUAAUAUCAUGAGAUUCCUUCCCCCUUACCUAAAUGGUUUUCUACUUUAUAUCCUGUCAUGGAUAUCUUGCUCUGCUUGUCCUUGGGAAGGAUAUACCCUUGAAAAAUAUGUUUAAACAUAUUUUCCUUUCCAUUGUUCUGUUUAAUCUGAUGAUCAUAUUUUCCUUCCAUUGGUUUGUUUAAACCUUUUCUAUGAUCUAUAUGAUAUAAGCAGUAAUAACCCACUGCUUGUGCAAACGCCUCGAUGUACAACUCUGUCGGUAAGACCUUGUUACUAUUGUUGAUGACAUUCCGGUAACCACCGAUGGACGGGAACCUUGCCUAUUGGUCCGCCUCGUUUCAACAAGCAGAAAAAUGGUUCUCUUCGUCCCUCGCCCUUGGUACCUAUGUUGUUGCCGACAUGACCCAUAGACUCUCCUCUGACAUGCCUUGCUUACAUGAUUAUGCAAGACGUCACCGCCUUUCCUACUUUUAACCAACAUGGUGGGCCCAUAACCCACAGUUCCACAGGAUCGAAACCUGACUCUCCUGUACACCCUGUUGUCAGAGUUAUUCCUCGUGCUUGACUAUGUAUGUAAUUCACGGGCCACUUACCUAUUGAUCUAUUCUGGUAUCGGACACAAUACUUAUUCCCGUUGCUCUGAACCCCUUUCGCACUCUGCUUCAGGCAAUGAACGAUUGCCUAUCCGCUUGAAACUUCUUAUCGCACUGUCUUACUUUGCUCUUGAUGUGUGUCAUUUGUUCAACUCGAGAGAUACUCAUAAGUUCAUUCUUGGGAUACCCCCAGAUGAAUUUCCCUUAUAACAUCCUAUCAUUGUAGAGCUACCCCUUACCUAUUCGUAAGUAUGAUGGAGUUCCCUGAAGAAAGGACGACAACUUCAUCAUGAUGCUUUGGAAUAAAGAAAUGAAGACAUCAACGAAAGGGAUCAACCUCUUCGAAAGGGCAGCCAAGACCGUGAAGACUCGUUAGGUUUUUCGCUACCAACACCUUCCCCCCCCUUACUCCACCGCUUAAAUCUCGGGACGAGAUUUCUUGUAGUGGAGGAGAAUUGUGACGCCCGGGUAAUCAAGCUACAGUAACCCUGCGCUAAUGAUGCCACGUCACCUCGGUUACUGUUGGUAAACUCGUGUUAGUUCAAACGAUUCAAAUUCAAAUUUAAAAUAUAGGCAAACGACAAAAGUUUUCAAAUAAUAAAACUAAAAUGUUCUGGUUGUGCCAAAUAAUGCGUAGGUAAUUAUGGUGGGGAAACCACACUUGUAUAAAAUAUGUAAAUACUCAAAAUGAAUAAAAUAGUAGCAAAAACAAUUAGUUAUACUCCUAAUAUAUUUUACCAAAUACUAAAGUAUUUUUAUUCUGAGGUAAAACUUCUUAGAACAGUGGUUUAUUUUAACACACUAUUUUGGAGCUAUUGUCAUGUUUUACUAAACCAAAAAUAAAGUGUAACUAAAAUAAAACUGAAAAGAAUAAUAAUAAAAAAAGGAAAUAAAAGCCCCCCCCCUCGCUGGGCCUCGGCCCAGCAGGCCAUCGGGCUGCCAGGCCGGCCCAGCCGCGCCCCACACCCUCCCCCUUAUCCACCCCACUGGGGGAAAACCCUAACCACCCACCCCACUUCCCCCACUCCUCCCUCUGCUUCCCCCGAUCCAGAUCGGAUCGGGCGUCGACGCCCCUUGCUGCUCGCCCGACGCCACGCCUCGGCGGACCGCCUUCGCCGGAGCCGCCCACCGGGCCGCCCCGUCCUCAUCCCCCUCCCCGAUCCAGAACUGGUUCGGGGCACGACCUCGACGCCGCACCGAACCGCGAUGCCCGCCGCUCGACCCCGGACCGCUCCCUCGCCGGACCUCCUCCUCUACGUCGCCGUCGUCCCCGUCCUCCUCCCCAAAGGCUCCACCGAGCCUCGCCGACCCUCUUCUCUUCAACGCCGGUGAGGGCCUUGCCCUCCCCUUCCCUUCCUUUGCUCCGUGCCGGCUGUUGUCGCCUCCCCCUCUCCCCUCCUCUGCGCCCCCCGAUUGGAUCGGGGGAUCGAACCGCCGCCACCGCCGCCCGGAACACCACCGCCUUGGCGCUGCCGCGGCGCCCGAGCCGCUCAUCCCCCGCUCGACCUGGGCGCCCGCCUGCGCCCAGGGGCCCGAUCCCGCCCCCACCUCCGUUCCCGCGCUCUCCAUCGUCCCCGGCCUCAUCGAGCCUCCCCUGCAACGCUGUGAGCAGCACCACGAUCCCCCUUCGUCCUCCCCUUCGAUUUGUUGUUGCUGCUGCUAGCUCCGCUGUUACCGAGCCCGCCGCCUAGCGCCACUCCCCGCCGGCCGGCGCGCUCGUCGUGGGCCGCUCGCGCCCUGGUUUCGCAUGCCUGCUGUCGAGGCCUUCUCCCCGGGCCUUGCCCGCCACCGCAGUCGUUCCUCCGCCGCCUUCCUUGGCCUGGCCGCCGGCGCCGGCGUGCNNNNNNNNNNNNNNNNNNNNNNNNNNNNNNNNNNNNNNNNNNNNNNNNNNNNNNNNNNNNNNNNNNNNNNNNNNNNNNNNNNNNNNNNNNNNNNNNNNNNNNNNNNNNNNNNNNNNNNNNNNNNNNNNNNNNNNNNNNNNNNNNNNNNNNNNNNNNNNNNNNNNNNNNNNNNNNNNNNNNNNNNNNNNNNNNNNNNNNNNNNNNNNNNNNNNNNNNNNNNNNNNNNNNNNNNNNNNNNNNNNNNNNNNNNNNNNNNNNNNNNNNNNNNNNNNNNNNNNNNNNNNNNNNNNNNNNNNNNNNNNNNNNNNNNNNNNNNNNNNNNNNNNNNNNNNNNNNNNNNNNNNNNNNNNNNNNNNNNNNNNNNNNNNNNNNNNNNNNNNNNNNNNNNNNNNNNNNNNNNNNNNNNNNNNNNNNNNNNNNNNNNNNNNNNNNNNNNNNNNNNNNNNNNNNNNNNNNNNNNNNNNNNNNNNNNNNNNNNNNNNNNNNNNNNNNNNNNNNNNNNNNNNNNNNNNNNNNUGCACGUGGCGCCCGUCACCGCUGCAACCGCUCGGGCGCACGCCCGCACCCGCACGCCCAUGCCCGCUAAGGCCAUUGGCCCUAUGACAAGCAGGCCCCACCCCAAAACGAAAAUAAAAAAAAGGUUAAAAAAAAUAAAUAACUAAAUAACUAAAAUAAUUAAAAUAUUAUUUAAUUAAUUAAAGAAUUAAUUAACUUAAUUAAUCCUGAUUAGUUAACCUAAUUAAUUGUAGUUAUUAAACCUAAUCAUUUUAGUUAGACUAACUAAACUUGAUUAGUUAGUCUUAGACAAUGACAACCCGGUCCCACCAUCAGAUUGACCCAGUCAACCCCUGUUGACUGCUGACAUCAGCAUGACAUCAUGCUGAUGUCAUAAAUCCCUUUUUGAAUUAAAUUGAAUAGUAAAUUAAAUUCCAGAAAUUAAUAAAAUCUUUAGAAAAUCAUAUCUUUUAAUCUGUAACUCGGAUUAAAAUAUUUUCAACAUAAAAGUUGCUCAGAACGACGAGACGAAUCCGGAUACGCAGCCCGUUCGUCCGCCACACACCCCUAACAUAUCAAACUCGCAACUUUCCCCCUCCGGCUCCUCUGCCCGAAAACACGAAACACCGGGGAUAUUUUCCCGGAUGCUUCCCCCUUCACCGGUAUCGCCUAUCCCUACGUUAGGUCACCCCUAGCAUAACGUAUUGCCGCGUCUUGCUUUGUGUUACAUUUGAUUGCUCCGUUAUUUAUUGUGUUCCCCCUCCGUUACUCCUUUCCGGUAGGCUCUGAGACCGAUGCUGAUGCCCCUGUGGUCGACUACGUCACCGACGACCCCUCCUUGUCUGAGCAACCAGGCAAGCCCCCCCUUGAUCACCAGAUAUCGUCUAUUCUUCUCUAUACUGCUUGCAUUAGAGUAGUGUAGCAUGUUACUGCUUUCCAUUAUUCCUAUCCUGAUGCAUAGCCUGUCCUUGCUACUACCGUUAUUACCAUUACCUGCUAUCCUACUGCUUAGUAUAGGAUGCUAGUGUUCCAUCAGUGGCCCUACACUCUUGUCCGUCUGCCAUGCUAUACUACUGGGCCGUGAUCACUUCGGGAGGUGAUCACGGGCAUAUAUGAUAUACUUUACACAGUUACAUUACCUGUGAUACUGUUCGGAGAUGGGGGCUGAAGGGGCAGGUGGCUCCAUCCCGGUAGAGGUGGGCCUGGGUUCCCGACGGCCCCCGACUGUUACUUUGUGGCGGAGCGGCAGGGCAGGUUGAGACCACCUAGGAGACAGGUGGGCCUGGCCCUGGUCGGCGUUCGCGGAUAUUUAACAUGCUUAACAAGAUCUUGGUAUUUGAUCUGAGUCUGGCUACGAGCCUAUACGCACUAACCAUUUACGUGGGAGUAGUUAUGGGUAUCCCGGCGUCGUGGUAUCAGCCGAAGCACUUCAGACAUCAGCGACGGAGCGGCGCGCGCCGGAUUGGAACGUAAGCCUGCUCUUGUAUUAAGGGGGCUAGUUCUGCUUCCGGCCGCCCACGCAACGUGCAGGUGUGCUAUGGGCGAUGGGCCCAGACCCCUGUGCGCUUAGGUUUAGACCGGCGUGCUGGCCUCUCUGUUUUGCCUAGGUGGGGCUGCGACGUGUUGAUCUUCCGCGGCCGGGCAUGACCCAGGAAAGUGUGUCCGGCCAAAUGGGAUCAAGCGUGUUGGGUUAUGUGGUGCACCCCUGCAGGGAAGUUAAUCUAUUCGAAUAGCCGUGAUCUUCGGUAACAGGACGACUUGGAGUUGUACCUUGACCUUAUGACAACUAGAACCGGAUACUUAAUAAAACACACCCUUCCAAGUGCCAGAUACAACCGGUGGUCGCUCUACCUCAGGGAUAUGAGGAGGGGAUCGCCGGGUAGGAUUAUGCUAUGCGAUGCUACUGGAGAUGCUACUUGGAGAUGCUACUUGGAGAUGCUACUUGGAGGACUUCAAUCUACUCUCUUCUACAUGCUGCGAGAUGGAGGCUGCCAGCAGCGUAGUCUUCGAUAGGACUAGCUAUCCCCCUUUUAUUCUGGCAUUCUGCAGUUCAGUCCAUCGAUAUGGCCUCCUUACACAUAUACCCAUGCAUAUGUAGUGUAGUUCCUUGCUUGCGAGUACUUUGGAUGAGUACUCACGGUUGCUUUCUCCCCCCUUUUUCCCCCUUUCCUUUCUUUCUGGUUGUCACAACCAGAUGCUGGAGUCCAGGAGCCAGACGCCACCGUCGACGACGACCCCUACUACACCGGAGGUGCCUACUACUACGUGCAGCCCGCUGACGAUGACCAGGAGUAGUUAGGAGGAUCCCAGGCAGGAGGCCUGCGCCUCUUUCGAUCUGUAUCCCAGUUUGUGCUAGCCUUCUUAAGGCAAACUUGUUUAACUUAUGUCUGUACUCAGAUAUUGUUGCUUCCGCUGACUCGUCUAUGACCGAGCACUUGUAUUCGAGCCCUCGAGGCCCCUGGCUUGUAUUAUGAUGCUUGUAUGACUUAUUUAUGUUUUUAGAGUUGUGUUGUGAUAUCUUCCCGUGAGUCCCUGGUCUUGAUCGUACACGUUUGCGUGCAUGAUUAGUGUACGAUUGAAUCGGGGGCGUCACAAAAGCUCAAGUGAAAGGCUUUAGUCAAAGGUAUUAGUUCCUUUGGCUUUAGAUGUGAGGAUUGAUGACCAUCGAAAAGGAUAUAUGCUCAAGAAUGAGUUAACGGUAGCUAUCUAGUAUAGUUCUUUUAUGAUUCUUCAGUUAUAGGGAUCCUGCACUAUUAAGAGGGGAUCAAAGGGGUUAGUGAUGGAUUUGCUCAAGUCAACAUCAUCUAUUUCUAUUCUUCUCACAUCAUAUUCCAACAUAGGUAUAUUUCACUCAUAUCCAAUACAAAUACAAUAUGCCUACAUAUCUCAAAAGAAAAUCCCAAGCCAACUAGGUUCCCCAAAGUAUAUGUAUAACCUUGCAUGCUUUGCACCCUCAAUUUUGGCUUGUCUUUGGUGGUUCUCUAUGUGAGGACCUGUAGCUUUUCCAUAGCUUCAAAACGAGCUCAAGAUCAUCAAAAUCGGAGUCCGGAUGUGAAAGUUAUGCAUGUUUCAGUUUUGGGGUUCGUGCUAUUUUUUUAAUGGCCGGACAUCCGGGCCGGAUGUCCGGGCUUCCGGGUCGCCCCGGAUGUCCGGGAUCCACCCGGAAAUCCGGCCCGCAAAUUCCAGAACCUGUUUUCAAAUGUUGGUUGUGCCCGCCGGAUGUCCGGCACUUGCCCGGAUGUCCGGCCCUUGCCCGGAUGUCCGGCCCGGCGCUGUCACUUACUCACAAACGGCUAGUUUUCUAGACCCUCUAUAUAUAUCCCUCUACUAAUCCGGUAGAGGGUUGACCACUUCAUCCCAAAUCACCCCAAGAACUCAAGUGGCUCCCUCUCACUUCUCGUACACCAAAUCUUAGAUCCCGGAGAGAUUCGUGAGAGUUCUUGAGAGUUUUUCCAAUCAAGUGAUAGAUCCACUCCCUCUCCCUCUCUUGACCAAAGGAAUUUGUGAUUUGAGCAAGUCUUGAGCAUUUCCCCUUUGUUCUUGUUACUCUUGGAGGUUGGAGACUCCUAGGAGGUAGGAGUGCUCCGGUGAGGAAUCAACUUGUGAUUUGUCCCCUGGAAAGUUUUUGAAGGUUUGGAGGCCGCCUCAAGGUCUACCACUAGUGGAUGAGAAUCGCCUUCGUGGUGAUAUCUCAAGGAGAAUAGGGUGAGCCUUCGUGGCGUUGGUGUGCCUUCAUGGUAACAUCCACCUCUCUAACGGUGACUAGCUUCCCUCCAAGGAAGUGAACAUCGGGAUACAUCCUCGUCUUCGUGACUUUGGUUAUCCCUAACCCUAACUCCUUACUUGUGGUUUACUUUGGUCACUUGACCGUGCAUUCACUAUAUCUUGUUGUCCUCAUUAUAUUGUGUUGGACAUUCCCUUGAAGAGAUUAUUUAGGCCUACACUUUAUAUUCGCAAUUCAUACUUUCUACUAUUGUUCUAUCUUAUGCUUAGUGUGAAUUGCUAGCUUGUAACAUUCGUUUCCAUAUCUUGUGACGUAACUUGUGUAAGCUUGUAGUGCUUACUUGAGUUUGCUUGUAUCAUUCAAUUCCAUAUAUUGUGAUACAAUUUGUGUAAGCUUGUAUUGCUUACUUGUGGUUGUGUGUAUUAUUCAUUUCCAUAUCUCGUGAUAUACAUUGAGUAAGUUUGUGUGACUUACUUGUGCUUACUCAUAUCCUUGUUGUUCUCAUCUUGUUUAUCCUAAGUUGUUGGUGCACUUAGUGAGCCUAGUAUAUUUAGGAUUUGUUCUUGAAAAGUAUCCGCUUAGUUUAUUUCUGCAUUAGGAUAUAGCCAAAUCCAUAAAAGAUUUUAAAAUGCCUAUUCACCCCCCUCUAGGCGACAUCCUGGUCCUUUUAAUUGGUAUCAGAGCCCGGUCUCUCCUUAUUAGGCUUCACCGCCUAGAGAGUAACGAUGUCGACUAGUGAACUAGUGCACGAUGACACAUUUUGUUUUAAUGGAACAAAUUACAUUAUGUGGAGAUUACACAUGCUUUGUCACUUUCGUGCCAUGGGUCCAAAUGCUUUGCGGAUUGUUGUUGUAGGGGAUUCAAAUCUAAAGGAUGGACAAUCUCCAUCACUUGAGGAUAUGCAUCUUGAUAGUCAAGUUUUGAGUUCCAUUCACCAAGCUAUAUCCUUCGAAGUGUUUAAGGAAAUCUUGACUUGCAAGUCGGCUCAUGAGACUUGGACCAAACUUGAAGAUAUAUAUGGUGGGUCCAAUCUUGAUGAAGACAAUAUUCUUUUUGGGGAGUUAAUGGUGAUUUCUCCACAUUUUUAAAUCAUGAAGAACUCUAUAUUUCUUCCACCUCCAAUUACUUGGACACUUCAAUAUCUUCCACUUCACCAUCAUGUGGCGUGCCACAAGGUAUUGACAUGGUGAGUGAAGAAAUAUCUUGUGAUGAUGGUGGUAAGCUCAUUUAUGAUGAUAUGCUUGAUCUCCCAUGUUGCCAUGAUAUAAAUGAUUUGGUUUCCUCUAGUUGUUCUAUGACUAACCAUGUAGAGGAAAUCAAGAAAGAUGAGGCAUGCUUGAUUGAUGAAGAACCCUCUUCUCCAAAAGAAUCAUCAUCACCGCCCUUUGUUCACAUGUGCCUCAUGGCAAGAGGUAAUGACGAGGUAUCAUCUUCUCUUAGUGAUAAUGAUGAUAGUUGUAAUGAGGAUGAUGAUGAUGACUUGACUCAAAAUCUCUAUGAGAUUGGGAAAACUCUUCAUAGAGCUAAAGAUAACACUUAUAAAAGGUUCCAAGAUGUUCUUGCUUGCUUUCAAAAACGUAAUGACUUAUUUCUUAACGAGCAAGUGAAAAGUGAACAACUUGAACAUGAACUUGCUAAGGCUCAUCAAUGUCUUAGUGACUUGAGGUCUUUAAAAGAAGAGAUUGAAGUUACUCAUUGUAAACUUAAUUAAAGAGGAUUUUGAGCACCUUGACCUUGGCUACAAGAAUGUCAAAGGAGAGCUCACCAAACUCUCUAAGUCUCAUGAGGAACUUCAAGCUACUCAUGCGGAGUCUCUAGUUUCUACAUGCUCCUCGCAUAUUGAUAAUGAUGAUUUUGCUACUAACUCUAUCUUGUGUGAAGCACCGAUGUUGAAAGAAAAUGUUGAGCUAAGGACUCAACUUGAUUUGCUAACUAGCAAUUAUGGGAAAUUGGAAGAAAGUUAUGAAAAGCUCUCGGGCACUCAUGAGGAUCUUCUAAUCUCUCAUGAUGGGCUAAAGUUAGCUCAUGAGGCUAUGUUCACGAAGGUAAAAUCGUGUGAGUCUCAUGUGGAUAUUAGCACAUCUUCUACUCAAAAUGCCUUAUUUCCAUGUGCUAGUCCUUGCAAUUCCUCUCUACAUGAUAUUGAUACACCUCAUGAUGAAUUUCUUACCUUGUCUUGUUGCUCUAACCAUGAAAUUUCUACUUCCACUAGUCCUCUUGUUUCUAGUCUUGAAACUAACCAUGUAGAGGAAAUUAAUGAGCUCAAGGCCCAAGUUACUAGUUUGAAGAAAGACUUGGAAAAGUGCGAUGAUGGACAUAGUUUUCACUCCAACAAGAAGAAAUCCAUGAACAAGAAAAGGGGGCAAGACCAAGCGAAGAACGACUCCAACAUUUCUUGCUUUAAGUGCAAAAAGGUUGGACAUCACGUGAGAUCUUGUCCAUUGAAGAAAAGGGCUUAUAAAGGGAAGCUAAACGGGAAGCGGCCUCAAGUUCAACCUCAACUUGAAGAACGGCCACUAUCCAUGAUGAAACAUGUUAUUACUUCCCAAGUUGAGAAAGUAAAGAAGAAGAGAAGGAGGAGUACAUGUUGCUAUAUUUGCCGUAAGAAGGGACACAUAGCUUCAUCAUGUCCCAAUGGUAACAUCUCUAAGCCUCCAAUUAUCAAUGAUCAUUAUUCACUUAGGAAGGAUGUUGAUGGUAAUAUGUUUGCCAAGUAUGUUGGUGCCCAAAGUGGUUUGAAAGUGGAUAAGACCAUUUGGGUUGCCAAGCCUAUUGUUACUAACUUCUUAGGACCCAACGUGGUUGGGGACCAUCGAGAUCAAACUUGAUCAAUAGGUGUGUGGAGGGCAUUGGAGACGUGGCUUGUUCAUGAAGAAAAAUGAUUCUCACCAUUCAUUAUGGUUCAAACCAAGUCAAGUGAAUUAUCAUCAUAUUUGUCAUUCCAAUGCUCCUCGUGGAGGUAACUUGUAUUUGUAUUAUCUACAUUGAAAGUUACUAGCCCCAUGCAUGUUUAGGUUUCGUACCUAGCAUGUGUUUGUAUAUGUUGUAUCUCCUAAUAUGCUUGAUUUGUGUUAUCUAGCUUGUGUAAGUUGCAAUGCAUGUCAUAUAUUUGUGUGUGUAGUCUCGAGCCCUUAUUGCUUCAUUAGUUGAAUCUUCCUUGUUUUUUUAGAUAUUAAUGGAUUAUCACAUUAUGGGGAAGUGUUAUGCUCUACGCACAUCACAAACCUAAAAUGUGUAUAUAUAUGGGAUACCACCUAGUAUUUAUAGUGCAAGAUUAAUUAUCUAGUCACUAUGUGGUAUGUCAAGUUCAUUCGAAACUCAAAUUCUCAUCCAUUGAUUAUCUUUAGCUGGAUUUCAUAUGCCUCUUUUGAGAUAUUCAUGGAUAACCAUAUUAUGGGGG
rnacentral:lncRNA from 1 species